rnacentral:lncRNA from 1 species
UCCAGACACCACCGAGAGACACAGGGCUUUUUAGCGUUCACUGUAUUUUCACUUCCACCGGAUUUGUUAGUUGACGAUGCAAUCAGCAUGCUGAUUAAGGUUGCUUGGUUUUUUACUAAACAUUAACUGAAUGAAAACGGGUAGUCCUUGUUCUGCUUGGGGGGCUUUAAGGAAGCAAAUGGACUUUCAGAACAGAGAUUGUCAAUAAAGGAUCCAAUGUGAUAAUUUAUGUGAAAUCUUUCUGCAAACUAUACAGUAUGAUAAAAAUAUAAGGUAGUUUCACUGGAAACAACAGAAGACUAGAAGCUGAUGUGACGUGGCAAUAUCAACCAGGGAGUGGGUGGACAUUUGGCAUCCAGGAUGUGGUUCCAAGCUUGAGCCAUGGGAUGGUUUUUAUCUAUCUUCAUCAGAAGGGAGUAUGCUAAAGAACACAUAUGAGAUUACUGUGUGUCUGACACACAGUAGGCCCUUAAUAUUAGUUUGCUGAAUGCACAAAGGGAGGGAACUUCACCAAACUGAAGAUCAUUUCUCAGGAGUAACUUUAAUAACAAGCUGAGGCACAAAAUCCCACUAAAGUUUACCAGCUACCUAUUUAGAAUGGCUGAAUUUUAACAGAUGUUGACUGACUCUCUUAGGAACGUCUGGAAAUGUCAGCAUGCCAUGAAAGUAGGUGUUCAAGAACAUGACUGGAAAAAUACUUCAAUCCUCAGCCCACUUGGAUGAAGCCAAAGAAUCCACUGUCUAUCUUUUCUAUUCCAGCUGUACCUGUCAAAGUAAUUUAUCAGAAUUAGUGCUCUUCUUGAUGAUGUAAUAGUGAGCUGACACAUAAUUCUACUAUAUCUGAUAAGUAAAUUAUUAGCUCAUGCCAGAACAAAAAGGAUGGACAUUGCCACUCAAAAUUGAUUAUUUUACAUAACACAGGGACCACCCAUAGACUACAUAGGAUUUUCACGGAACUUCAGAAAUUCUUGAAUCUCAUUUUGAGAACCACUUUUCUAUUGUGAGCUGUGUUUGAUGAUGCAAAAGGUACCCUGCUUCUAUCACUUUUUCAAGUUUCUUGGCCUCUGGAGCAGAGAUAAUUUUAGUAGUUACAGGGUUCUUAUGUCCAUUUUAUGAGCUACUGAAUGUAAAGUGCUUAACACUGUGCCUGGCACAUAGUAAACUUUAAUAUAUAUGGGCAACUAUAACAAUAAAAUUAAUAUUCGUUGGUAUCAUUAUUAAGUAGUAUAACACUCAUUCUUCUCCGUGACUAGAAUGAGCCUUUUUACAUUAUCUGCAUAUUUUUUGUCCUAGGAAUACCCAUCUCGAGUUCUGGAUAUGUGCUCUGAGAAGGUGCCCAUGUCACCGACCACACUGGAGGCCAAUGCAGAUACUGGGGGAAGGUUCCAUGGUAGCUAAGUGUGGACAAGCUAAUCACUGAAGUUCCCUGAUGCAGAGUUGAUAAUCUCUCUAGAGUUGGAUGAAAGACUGUGCUGCCUUGAAGCUCUGAGAGAUGCCAUGCCAAUUCAAGGCAGGGUCUUUAUUGUUGAAACUCUUGCGUAAUGACAUCUUUAUUCAGGUGAAAAUACAGGAUGAAUUUCAACUAUAUGAUAUUGUUUAUGUUCCUCAGACAUGUUAUUUGUCUUUACAAAGAUUGGUUUCAAUAAACUGUGUGACUGAUAUUAAAUAAACAUGGAAUUUUACACAUUCAUAAUAUUUGGUUUCUUGUGAUUUUGAUGAACUAUACUUUCAAGCAUUGUCAGUUCAUCCUCAUUUACAAGGAAACAUUUGCUGUAGCAGAGUGAUGUAGUGACUUGCUUUACUUAAGAUAAGUCAACUUUUCUAUUCAAUGUUUAAUGUGAAACUGACUUAAAAAUUUUCUUUUAGGCCACAUUUACAUUUCUGUUUGUAUAACAUGCAUUAUACUAUUUUAACUUAAUACUAUGGCUAUAUAAACCAAAGACAUCCUAAUUCUGUUUUUAAUUUAUUGUUUUGCAAGAUAAAUAAUUUUUAAUGCACUAAUGAAGCUAAGGAGUUCAUAUUAAAAGACAUGUUAUAUGACCUACUGAAGUUGAGCUAUGGAAA